rnacentral:piRNA from 1 species
UGGGAUGAACUAGGAAAGGCUCA